rnacentral:rRNA from 1 species
ACUACAGGACUAGGGACCAGGUGAGGUGGACGGUAUUCCGUGGGGAGCGGUAAAAUGUGAUAAUCCUCGGAGGACCACCAAUGGCGAAGGCAGUUCACCAAAAUGGAUCCGACGGUGAGGGAUGAAAGCUAGGGGAGCGAUCGCGAUUAGAUACCCGAGUAGUCCUAGCUGUAAACUCUGCGUGCCAGAGGUUGCGUAAUCUCCGAGAUUGCGCAGUGUCGUAACGAAGUUAAGCACGCCACCUGGAAUACGUCGCAAGCUAAACUUAAAGAAUUGGCGGAAGACACACCAACGGGUGCGGCGUGCGGUUUAAUCGUAUUCAACACCGAGAAUCUCACCCAGGGGCGACGGCACAAUGACGCUCAGUCUGAAGGGCUUAGCUGAGGAGCCGAGAGGUGGUGCAUGGCCGCCGUCAGCUCGUGCCGUGAGGUGUCCUGUUAAGUCAGGCGACGAGCGAGACCUGUAUCCAUCGUUGCUAACGCGUUCGCAAGAAUGAGCGCGCGCA